rnacentral:rRNA from 1 species
CAGUAGCCACGGUAAUACGAAGGGGGCUAGCGUUGUUCGGAAUUACUGGGCGUAAAGGGCGCGUAGGCGGCCAUUCAAGUUAGAUGUGAAAGCCCUGGGCUCAACCUAGGAAUUGCAUUUGAUACUGUUUGGCUUGAGUUCGGGAGAGGUGAGUGGAAUUCCCAGUGUAGAGGUGAAAUUCGUAGAUAUUGGGAAGAACACCAGUGGCGAAGGCGGCUCACUGGACCGACACUGACGCUGAGGCGCGAAAGCGUGGGGAGCGAACAGGAUUAGAUACCCCCGUAGUCCCUGUCUCUUAUAA